UCCAAACUGCACUUUUUUGUCUCUCCUCUUCCUGAAUUAUCUGCCUGGAACUACUGCCCUCACUGACCUUUGGUCUGCAGUGCUACUAUUCUUCAAGACAUUUCUAAGAACUGUUAACAAUUAUCUAUGGAGACAAAAGGAUCCAUUUGGAAAUGCCACUCUUGGUUUAUGAUAUGCAUUUAUUUCCACUGAAACUCCUCCAUGAAAAAGAAGCAAUUGAAGAGGUGAACUUACAAGUGUUAAAAUAAAAGAACUGCUACUUUUAAAAACAGUCCCACUCAAUUUCUGGAAGCAGGAUAGCAGAGAAGCAUAAAAAAUAUGAGGUGCCACAUCAGAAGGGGGGAAAUGACAAAAAGGAAAAAUUCAGGCAUCAUUAGUCAAUAAGAGAGCUUUUUGUUCUCAAACGACACUGACCAUUCCCUUGGUAGGAAAAAUGGACACUGUGACAAAGCAUGGUAGGUAAU